AUGAGCGGAGUGCGUAAUAAAGCAGAUGAUAUCACUGAAGCUAUAUCAACGGGAACAUGCUAUAUUGUGCUGGAAAGGUUCCCUCCAGACUAUGUACAGACGGUAGCGCGGUAUCUUGAAUCAUCUGUGCCACAAAACAAUUGUGAUGCCACGCGUGACGACCCAAAAGAAACAGAAAGCAGUGAUUCGGGAGACAGCGUGUUCAUCACCCAGAAGCCGGUCCCGGAGCCUGUGAGAAGCAGCAGACGGCAUCGCAAAACUCCAACAUCUCCAAAAGAUCUAGAAGAAAGUGAAGAUUCGUCUUCCUCCCAAAAUGCCACAACGUCUAACAAGAAAAGGAAAAAAAAGAAUGUUAGGCUGCCAAAGUACACCUUUCCUUUUGUUAAAGAGAAGCAGUGGAUGGGAAGGAGAUCAGUUUUGACUGGCCAGCAGAAUAAAAAGCUUCACAAUGCCAUGAUGGGAGGCUUCUUUAAAUGUGUGAGGGAGCUGUGGCACGGCUAUAAAGGUGUAUAUAUGGACAUGUCUCUACCCACAGUUGACAUGGAUGGGGAUAUUCUAUCUCCACUGUCAGAAGAAGAAGAAGAGAGGUCAGAAAAGGAGGACAUCAAAGUGGUGGAAAAGCGUUUUCUAGCUGCAUCAAAAGCAAUGUGCACCCAAGCAUGGUACACUCCAGGAAAGAUGGAAGGCCACAUAAAGCAACAGAGCAGGAGGAGGAGAGCCAGUAGCACCAGCCAAGACGUGUCCCAAGACCAAACGAUGACAAUUCAACAGUCAACCAGCAGAUCCAUAACAACGGCUACUCCGUUGUUGAGUGAUAAAGAUGGACAUCCUUGUAGAGAUUUGCCUCAGCAGGAGAAUGGAGAUCCUGAACAUGAGAUACAUCAAAAAAGCAUUCCUGGACAAACCGAACUGUCAAAGACAAAGAGACGUCUUACUGGAGGGAAGAAAAUGAUUCUCUUUCAGAAAAAUGAACGAGAGGAAGAGUUGUACAGCGACAGUGAUGCUACUGUGUGUGAUGCUCUACAGCUUCAUGGAAGUCCAAGCAAGCACACACAAGGAGGCAAAGAGGCAGUCAACACUGCAACACAGGCUCAAGUCGAUGUUUUCCAAAUGGAUGAACUAAGCCAGGGCAGACAAGAAGAGGAGGAACCUGAAAGUCAAAGUGUCCUCCACGGUCUUCCACAGUUUGUGGGUGACACCAAUAAUGUUAUUGUAUGUGCUGAAAGCACCUUGAAGAAGAAGAAAAACACUGUAACACAGGCUCAAGUGGACGUUUUCCAGAUGGAUGAACUAAGCCAGACCAGACAAGAAGAGGAGGAACCUGAAAGUCAAAGUGUCCUCCACGGUCUUCCACAGUUUGUGGGUGACACCAACAGUGUUAUUGUAUGUGCUGAAUCUACCCCGAAAAAGAAGAAAAAAAACACUGUAACACAGGCUCAAGCUGAUGUUUUCCAAAUUGAUGAACUAAGCCAGACCAGACAAGAAGAGGAGGAACCUGAAAGUCAAAGUGUCCUCCAGGGUCUUCCACAGUUUGUGGGUGACACUAAUAAUGUUAUUUCAUGUGCUGAAAGCACCUUGAAGAAGAAGAAAAACACUGUAACACAGGCUCAAGUGGACGUUUUCCAGAUGGAUGAACUAAGCCAGACCAGACAAGAAGAGGAGGAACCUGAAAGUCAAAGUGUCCUCCACGGUCAUCCACAGUUUGUGGGUGACCCCAACAGUGUUAUUGUAUGUGCUGAAUCUACCCCGAAAAAGAAGAAAAAAAACACUGUAACACAGGCUCAAGCUGAUGUUUUCCAAAUUGAUGAACUAAGCCAGACCAGACAAGAAGAGGAGGAACCUGAAAGUCAAAGUGUCCUCCAGGGUCUUCCACAGUUUGUGGGUGACACUAAUAAUGUUAAUGUAUUUGUUGAAUCCACCCUGAAGAAGAAGAAGAAGAAGAAGAAAAAGAAGAAAAACACUGUAACACAGGCUCAAGCCCAUGUUUUCCAAAUUGAUGAACUAAGCCAGACCAGACAAGAAGAGGAGGAACCUGAAAGUCAAAGUGUCCUCCAGGGUCUUCCACAGUUUGUGGGUGACACUAAUAAUGUUAUUGUAUGUGCUGAAAGCACCUUGAAGAAGAAGAAAAACACUGUAACACAGGCUCAAGUGGACGUUUUCCAGAUGGAUGAACUAAGCCAGACCAGACAAGAAGAGGAGGAACCUGAAAGUCAAAGUGUCCUCCACGGUCUUCCACAGUUUGUGGGUGACACCAACAGUGUUAUUGUAUGUUCUGAAUCUACCCCGAAGAAGAAGAAAAAGAAGAAAAAAAACACUGUAACACAGGCUCAAGCCCAUGUUUUUCAAAUUGAUGAACUAAGCCAGACCAGACAAGAAGAGGAGGAACCUGAAAGUCAAAGUGUCCUCCAGGGUCUUCCACAGUUUGUGGGUGACACUAAUAAUGUUAAUGUAUUUGUUGAAUCCACCCUGAAGAAGAAGAAGAAGAAAAAGAAGAAAAACACUGUAACACAGGCUCAAGCCGAUGUUUUCCAAAUGGAUGAACUAAGCCAGACCAGACAAAAAGAGGAGGAACCUGAAAGUCGAAGUCUCCUCCAGAGUCUUCCACAGUUUGUGAGUGACGCCAAUAAUGUUAUUGUAUGUGCUGAAUCCACACCAAAGAAGAAGAAAAAGAAGAAAAACAAAAACAUCAAAGCCAAAGGAGAUCGUGAUAGUGUAGAAGAAGCAGCAGGUCAGAAUCAGGAAGAGCCAGAAGGUCUGCACGCUGCAGAAUCUGUAAAUGUGGAGGCAGAAGAGACUUUUAGUCGGUCAGACAACAAUGAUAACAUGUCGAUGCAGGAGAAGAGACUUGAUUCAACUCAACAGAAAAGAAAGAGAAAAAGGGGUAAGUUAUUUGCUGAAAAUAUUAGACAAGAGGUGGGAGAACACUUGGAGCCUGGUGUGAGUUUAGAGGAAUCUGAGGCUUCUGUGAUGUGUAACAUUGAGAAUGCCAAGAAGAUAAAAAAGAAGAAAGGUGUUGAUGAUGCUGAGGGUGUUGAACAGUUGGAGUCCACUGAAGCUGCCACAACUAAAAAUGAUGGACAAAAGAAAAUGAAAAAACUGAAACACAAAAGUAUAAAACGGUCAUCCUCACUUGAAGAUAAUCAAUGUGAAAAUGAUGCAAAAGUGAGAUUGUCUAAUGAGGGAGCAACCUUGGAAGAACAUGUAGUGAAAAAAAGGAAGAAAGAAAGCAUCUCUCAGGGAGUUUCUAUUUCUUACACUCCUGACAAAAGCGAUAAGGUUGAAUGUAUAGAUUCUAAUGAGCAAGAUGAACAAUUAUGUAAGAAGAAAAAGAAAAAGAGGAGGCGAGAGAAAUUUGGUGAAUUAUCUAACGAACAGGCCUCAAAAGAUACUGUAGCACAGAGCCAUGAGGCAGUAUCUGUGAGGAAAAAGGAAAAGAGGACGACCUCUUCCUUCCUUCAAGCUGAUUCAGGGGAAAAAGAUGUUGAGUUGCAUCAGCAGCAAAACAACUCAAAAACAGUAGCACCUGGUGUCUGUGACUUUGAGGCCGAAUCAGCGGAAAUUGUUGGAAAUUCUGGUGAUGGAGUCAGCAAAAAGAAGAAAAGAAAGAGGAAGACAAUGGAGACUCAGGACAAUGUGGAAGACGAUCAGGGGACUGAGUUUGAGGAACCAAACAAAAUGUGCAGGAGUGUUUUAACUGAAACAGGGAUAAAGAAAAGGAAGAAAAGUAAAAGUAAAUCUGUGUCAAUGGACAGACUGGACAGUGCAGUUGAUGUAGGGCGAUUUCAAGCUGAGGAAGACAUGAUGCAGAAAAAGAAAAAGAACAAGAAAAUAUUUAACGAACUGAAAAUGUAA
ensembl:lncRNA titin-like